GCAUUGGCUGAGUAAUUCAAAAGAGUGAUUGAAGACUGGAAAGUACCUUAACAGAUAACUUGGGAGAUUUCUAAUGCCUGGAGGCUGCUCCGUCUAUCCAAGUGGGAGCUGCAAGCAAGUCCUGCCUCCUCUCCGCCAUCUUAACCCCUCAACCAGUAAAUGUUUAAAGACACAAAUCUCAAGCCCUCUCAGUCUCCACUCUUCAAAAGUCCGUCCUUUCCUGACUUUACGUGGCAGAAAGACAAUCUGCCUUGCAGCAAGUUUAUGGAUAACACGGAGUUCCCCUGCAAUGAAUAUGUGAACCCUCUGUUCUUCAGGAUAGCACUUGGGAUGAUGUGGAGUUGCUCAGGCCAGGACCUCCAGUACCAUACUGAAUUGAAAUGCCAGCUGAAACUUACUGAAGCAACAGAAAAAUGGAGACAUAACAAACAUGAGGUGUGAGCAAUAUAAAUGAGUGAUGUAUUUUGGGAAAAAAAAAAAGCUUGUAAGUAUUGACAUUUAAUGAAGAUUCCUGCU
rnacentral:lncRNA from 1 species